ACCAACAGGAGAAUCAUUUCUAUAGUAUUUGUCCUCUUUUGUGUUCCCUAAAGGAGCCACAGAUCCCACCCGGGAUGAUGAUCAAUAUCCUCGUUUCCCAACAGUGAGGUCCUUUUAUUUACUCUCGCUCUGCCUGCAAAGGUGGCGAUCUGCUUUCGAGUGGAUUGUAUAGAGAGUGGCGAUGAUCUGUACCCCGAUUUCUCGAGGUCUGCCUUCGGGCGCUUGGGCGGGGUGGGUUUCGAUGGAAGUCUGACCGGC
rnacentral:snoRNA from 1 species